rnacentral:lncRNA from 1 species
AGGUAAGCCAUCAUCUCCUCGUGCUGACUCUCCUGGCGGCUCUCAAGACGCUCAAUCCUCUGUACGAGAUGCUCAAACUGAGAGGUGAAGCCGACCUGAUACUGAUCGAGAUGUUCUUCUAUAGAGUAGAAGCGGGAGUCAUGGACUAGGGCAAGCUCCUCCAUACGAGUCCCAAGAGAGCUGAUCUGCGCGGAGAGAUCCAUCCAAGGCGCAUGAUCAGGAACAUGAGGUGCCUAAGAUGGUAGCUCGGUGAAUGAUGGCUGAGAUG